rnacentral:rRNA from 1 species
AACGAACGUUAGCGGCGCGCUUAACACAUGCAAGUCGAACGAGAAAGGGUGCCUUCGGGUACCCCGGUAAAGUGGCGCACGGGUGAGUAACACGUAGGCGACCUACCCCUUGGCGGGGGAUAACCUUCCGAAAGGAGGGCUAUUACCGCAUAUGACCACGGCUGCGAAAGCGGCUGAGGUAAAAGCUGGCCUCUUCACGAAAGCUGGCACCAAGGGAUGGGCCUGCGCCCCAUCAGCUAGUUGGUAGGGUAACGGCCUACCAAGGCGAAGACGGGUAGCUGGUCUGAGAGAAUGAUCAGCCACACUGGAACUGGGACACGGUCCGGACUCGUACGGGAGGCAGCAGUGGGGAAUCUUGCGCAAUGGGCGAAAGCCUGACGCAGCGACGCCGCGUGAGUGAUGAAGGCCUUAGGGUUGUAAAGCUCUGUGGAGAGGGACGAAUAAGUGUCGGUGAAUAUCCGGCAUGAUGACGGUACCUUUUUAGCAAGCACCGGCUAACUCUGUGCCAGCCGCCGCCGUAACAC